rnacentral:rRNA from 1 species
UACAGGGGGUGCAAACGUUGCUCGGAAUCAUUGGGCGUAAAGCGCACGCAGGCGGUCUGUGAAGUUUGGAGUGACAGUUGGUGGCUCAACCACCAAAGUGCUUUGAAAACUGAUAGACUUGAGGGCUUCAGAGGGACACGGAAUUCCGGGUGGAGUGGUGAAAUGCGUAGAGAUCCGGAGGAACACCAAAGGCGAAGGCAGUGUCCUGGGGAGUACCUGACGCUCAGGUGCGAAAGCCAGGGGAGCGAACGGG